rnacentral:rRNA from 1 species
UACAGAGGGUGCGAGCGUUGUUCGGAAUUAUUGGGCGUAAAGCGCUUGUAGGCGGCACGUCAAGUCGCGUGUGAAAUCCCCAGGCUUAACCUGGGAAGUGCGCGCGAAACUGACGAGCUUGAGUGCCGGAGAGGGUCGCGGAAUUCCCAGUGUAGAGGUGAAAUUCGUAGAUAUUGGGAAGAACACCGGUGGCGAAGGCGGCAUCCUGGACCGGCAUUGACGCUGAGGCGCGAAAGCCAGGGGAGCAAACGGG